AGCGUUUCAGGAACUUCUUAAAGUCAUGUGCUCUACCAACUGAGCUAUGAAGGUGCUUAUAGAUAAAAACGCAGAAAACAUAGUGGCUUCGGCGACACACUUUGCCAAAACAACAAUCAAGCCACCUGGUCAAUGAAAAAGGAUGAACAGUGCAUAUACAAAUGAAAUCUGUUGCUUGGAGCUGGAGUUGAACCAGGGAGCUUUGGAGCACAGCGUUUAAGGAACUUCUUAAACACAUGUGCUCUACCAACUGAGCUAUGAAGGUGCUUAUAGAUAAAAACGCAGAAAACAUAGUGGCUUCGGCGACACACUUUGCCAAAACAACAAUCAAGCCACCUGGUCAAUGAAAAAGGAUGAACAGUGCAUAUACAAAUGAAAUCUGGUGCUUGGAGCUGGAGUUGAACCAGGGACCUUUGGACAACAGCGUUUCAGGAACUUCUUACAGUCAUGUGCUCUACCAACUGAGCUAUGAAGGUGCUUAUAGAUGAAAACGCAGAAAACAUAGUGGCUUCGGCGACACACUUUGCCAACACAACAAUCAAGCCACCUGGUCAAUGAAAAAGGUUGAACAGUGCAUAAAUCAAUGAAAUCUGGUGUUUGGAGCAGGAGUUGAACCAGCGACCUUUGGACCACAGCAUUUCAGGAACUUCUUAAAGUCAUGUGCUCUACCAACUGAGCUAUGAAGGUCCUUUUAGAUAAAAACGCAGAAAACAUAGUGGCUUCGGCGACACACUUUGCCAACAUAACUAUUGAACCAACAUGGUCAAUGAAAAAGGUUGAACAGUGCAUAGACCAAUGAAAUGUGGUGUUUGGAGCAGGAGUUGAACCAGCGUCCUUUGGACCACAGCGUUUCAGGAACUUCUUAAAGUCAUGUGCUCUACCAACUGAGCUAUGAAGGUGCUUAUAGACACAAACGCAGAAAACAUAGUGGCUUCGGCGACACACUUUGCCAACAAUACAAUUGGACCCACAUGGUCAAUGAAAAAGGUUGAACAGUGCAUAGACCAAUGAAAUCUGGUGUUUGGAGCAGGAGUUGAACCAGCGACCUUUGGACCACAGCGUUUCAGGAACUUCUUAAAGUCAUGUGCUCUACCAACUGAGCUAUGAAGGUGCUUAUAGAUAAAAACGCAGAAAACAUAGUGGCUUCGGCGACACACUUUGCCAACAUAACUAUUGAACCAACAUGGUCAAUGAAAAAGGUUGAACAGUGCAUAGACCAAUGAAAUGUGGUGUUUGGAGCAGGAGUUGAACCAGCGUCCUUUGGACCACAGCGUUUCAGGAACUUCUUAAAGUCAUGUGCUCUACGAACUGAGCUAUGAAGGUGCUUAUAGACACAAACGCAGAAAACAUAGUGGCUUCGGCGACACACUUUGCCAACAAUACAAUUGGACCCACAUGGUCAAUGAAAAAGGUUGAACAGUGCAUAGACCAAUGAAAUCUGGUGUUUGGAGCAGGAGUUGAACCAGCGACCUUUGGACCACAGCGUUUCAGGAACUUCUUAAAGUCAUGUGCUCUACCAACUGAGCUAUGAAGGUGCUUAUAGAUAAAAACGCAGAAAACAUAGUGGCUUCGGCGACACACUUUGCCAACAUAACUAUUGAACCAACAUGGUCAAUGAAAAAGGUUGAACAGUGCUUAGACAAAUGAAAUCUGGUGUUUGGAGCUGGAGUUGAACCAGCGACCUUUGGACCACAGCGUUUCAGGAACUUCUUAAAGUCAUGUGCUCUACCAACUGAGCUAUGAAGGUGCUUAUAGAUAAAAACGCAGAAAACAUAGUGGCUUCGGCGACACACUUUGCCAACAUAACUAUUGAACCAACAUGGUCAAUGAAAAAGGUUGAACAGUGCAUACACCAAUGAAAUCUGGUGUUUGGAGCUGGAGUUGAACCAGCGUCCUUUGGACCACAGCGUUUAAGGAACUUCUUAAAGUCAUGUGCUCUACCAACUGAGCUAUGAAGGUGCUUAUAGAUAAAAACGCAGAAAACAUAGUGGCUUCGGCGACACACUUUGCCAACAAUACAAUUGGACCCACAUGGUCAAUGAAAAAGGUUGAACAGUGCUUAGACAAAUGAAAUCUGGUGUUUGGAGAUGGAGUUGAACCAGCGACCUUUGGACCACAGCGUUUCAGGAACUUCUUACAGUCAUGUGCUCUACCAACUGAGCUAUGAAGGUGCUUAUAGAUAAAAACGCAGAAAACAUAGUGGCUUCGGCGACACACUUUGCCAAAACAACAAUCAAGCCACCUGGUCAAUGAAAAAGGAUGAACAGUGCAUAUACAAAUGAAAUCUGGUGCUUGGAGCUGGAGUUGAACCAGGGACCUUUGGACAACAGCGUUUCAGGAACUUCUUACAGUCAUGUGCUCUACCAACUGAGCUAUGAAGGUGCUUAUAGAUGAAAACGCAGAAAACAUAGUGGCUUCGGCGACACACUUUGCCAACACAACAAUCAAGCCACCUGGUCAAUGAAAAAGGUUGAACAGUGCAUAAAUCAAUGAAAUCUGGUGCUUGGAGCAGGAGUUGAACCAGCGACCUUUGGACCACAGCAUUUCAGGAACUUCUUAAAGUCAUGUGCUCUACCAACUGAGCUAUGAAGGUCCUUUUAGAUAAAAACGCAGAAAACAUAGUGGCUUCGGCGACACACUUUGCCAAAACAACAAUCAAGCCACCUGGUCAAUGAAAAAGGAUGAACAGUGCAUAUACAAAUGACAACUGGAUGCUUGGAGCUGGAGUUCAACCAGCGACCUUUGGACCACAGCGUUUCAGGAACUUCUUAAAGUCAUGUGCUCUACCAACUGAGCUAUGAAGGUGCUUAUAGACACAAACGCAGAAAACAUAGUGGCUUCGGCGACACACUUUGCCAACAAUACAAUUGGACCCACAUGGUCAAUGAAAAAGGUUGAACAGUGCAUAGACCAAUGAAAUCUGGUGUUUGGAGCUGGAGUUGAACCAGCGACCUUUGGACCACAGCGUUUCAGGAACUUCUUAAAGUCAUGUGCUCUACCAACUGAGCUAUGAAGGUGCUUAUAGAUAAAAACGCAGAAAACAUAGUGGCUUCCGCGACACACUUUGCCAAAACAACAAUCAAGCCACCUGGUCAAUGAAAAAGGAUGAACAGUGCAUAUACAAAUGAAAUCUGGUGCUUGGAGCUGGAGUUGAACCAGAGACCUUUGGACCACAGCGUUUCAGGAACUUCUUAAAGUCAUGUGCUCUACCAACUGAGCUAUGAAGGUGCUUAUAGAUAAAAACGCAGAAAACAUAGUGGCUUCGGCGACACACUUUGCCAACACAACAAUCAAGCAACCUGGUCAAUGAAAAAGGUUGAACAGUGCAUAGACCAAUAAAAUCUGGUGUUUGGAGCAGGAGUUGAACAAGCGACCUUUGGACCACAGCGUUUCAGGAACUUCUUAAAGUCAUGUGCUCUACCAACUGAGCUAUGAAGGUGCUUAUAGAUAAAAACGCAGAAAACAUAGUGGCUUCGGCGACACACUUUGCCAAAACAACAAUCAAGCCACCUGGUCAAUGAAAAAGGAUGAACAGUGCAUAUACAAAUGAAAUCUGGUGGUUGGAGGUGGAGUUGAACCAGGGACCUUUGGACCACAGCGUUUCAGGAACUUCUUACAGUCAUGUGCUCUACCAACUGAGCUAUGAAGGUGCUUAUAGAUGAAAACGCAGAAAACAUAGUGGCUUCGGCGACACACUUUGCCAACACAACAAUCAAGCCACCUGGUCAAUGAAAAAGGUUGAACAGUGCAUAAAUCAAUGAAAUCUGGUGUUUGGAGCAGGAGUUGAAGCAGCGACCUUUGGACCACAGCA